GUUAGCGGCGGACGGGUGAGUAACACGUGGAUAACCUACCUAUAAGACUGGGAUAACUUCGGGAAACCGGAGCUAAUACCGGAUAACAUGUUGAACCGCAUGGUUCAACAGUGAAAGACGGUCUUGCUGUCACUUAUAGAUGGAUCCGCGCCGCAUUAGCUAGUUGGUAAGGUAACGGCUUACCAAGGCAACGAUGCGUAGCCGACCUGAGAGGGUGAUCGGCCACACUGGAACUGAGACACGGUCCAGACUCCUACGGGAGGCAGCAGUAGGGAAUCUUCCGCAAUGGGCGAAAGCCUGACGGAGCAACGCCGCGUGAGUGAAGAAGGUCUUCGGAUCGUAAAACUCUGUUAUUAGGGAAGAACAAAUGUGUAAGUAACUAUGCACGUCUUGACGGUACCUAAUCAGAAAGCCACGGCUAACUACGUGCCAGCAGCCGCGGUAAUACGUAGGUGGCAAGCGUUAUCCGGAAUUAUUGGGCGUAAAGCGCGCGUAGGCGGUUUUUUAAGUCUGAUGUGAAAGCCCACGGCUCAACCGUGGAGGGUCAUUGGAAACUGGAAAACUUGAGUGCAGAAGAGGAAAGUGGAAUUCCAUGUGUAGCGGUGAAAUGCGCAGAGAUAUGGAGGAACACCAGUGGCGAAGGCGACUUUCUGGUCUGUAACUGACGCUGAUGUGCGAAAGCGUGGGGAUCAAACAGGAUUAGAUACCCUGGUAGUCCACGCCGUAAACGAUGAGUGCUAAGUGUUAGGGGGUUUCCGCCCCUUAGUGCUGCAGCUAACGCAUUAAGCACUCCGCCUGGGGAGUACGACCGCAAGGUUGAAACUCAAAGGAAUUGACGGGGACCCGCACAAGCGGUGGAGCAUGUGGUUUAAUUCGAAGCAACGCGAAGAACCUUACCAAAUCUUGACAUCCUCUGACCCCUCUAGAGAUAGAGUUUUCCCCUUCGGGGGACAGAGUGACAGGUGGUGCAUGGUUGUCGUCAGCUCGUGUCGUGAGAUGUUGGGUUAAGUCCCGCAACGAGCGCAACCCUUAAGCUUAGUUGCCAUCAUUAAGUUGGGCACUCUAAGUUGACUGCCGGUGACAAACCGGAGGAAGGUGGGGAUGACGUCAAAUCAUCAUGCCCCUUAUGAUUUGGGCUACACACGUGCUACAAUGGACAAUACAAAGGGUAGCGAAACCGCGAGGUCAAGCAAAUCCCAUAAAGUUGUUCUCAGUUCGGAUUGUAGUCUGCAACUCGACUACAUGAAGCUGGAAUCGCUAGUAAUCGUAGAUCAGCAUGCUACGGUGAAUACGUUCCCGGGUCUUGUACACACCGCCCGUCACACCACGAGAGUUUGUAACACCCGAAGCCGGUGGAGUAACCUUUUGGAGCUAGCCGUCGAAGGUGGGACAAAUGAUUGGGGUGAAGUCGUAACAAGGUAGCCGUAUCGGAAGGUGCGGCUGGAUCACCUCCUUUCUAAGGA
rnacentral:rRNA from 2 species